UACGGAGGGAGCUAGCGUUGUUCGGAAUUACUGGGCGUAAAGCGCGCGUAGGCGGCUUUGUAAGUUAGAGGUGAAAGCCCGGAGCUCAACUCCGGAACUGCCUUUAAAACUGCAUCGCUUGAAUCCAGGAGAGGUGAGUGGAAUUCCGAGUGUAGAGGUGAAAUUCGUAGAUAUUCGGAAGAACACCAGUGGCGAAGGCGGCUCACUGGCCCGGAACUGACGCUGAGGUGCGAAAGCGUGGGGAGCAAACAGG
rnacentral:rRNA from 1 species